GGCAUGGUUUGGCACCUCGAUGUCGGCUCGUCGCAUCCUGGGGCUGGAGUAGGUCCCAAGGGUUGGGCUGUUCGCCCAUUAAAGCGGUACGCGAGCUGGGUUUAGAACGUCGUGAGACAGUUCGGUCCCUAUCCGCCGCGCGCGAAGGAACCUUGAGGAGACCUGUCCCUAGUACGAGAGGACCGGGACGGACGAACCUCUGGUGUGUCAGUUGUCCUGCCAAGGGCAUGGCUGAUUGGCUACGUUCGGAAGGGAUAACCGCUGAAAGCAUCUAAGCGGGAAACCCGCUCCAAGAUGAGGGUUCCCACAGGGUUAACCUGGUAAGGCCCCCAGCAGAACACUGGGUUGAUAGGCCGGACGUGGAAGCACAGUAAUGUGUGGAGCUGACCGGUACUAAUAGGCCGAGGGCUUGUCUCU
rnacentral:rRNA from 1 species